GAACGCCCCGCAAGGGGAGUGGCAGACGGGUGAGUAACGCGUGGGAACGUGCCCAAAGGUACGGAACAACUCCGGGAAACUGGAGCUAAUACCGUAUGUGUCCGUAAGGAGAAAGAUUUAUCGCCUUUGGAUCGGCCCGCGUUGGAUUAGCUAGUUGGUGGGGUAAUGGCCUACCAAGGCGACGAUCCAUAGCUGUUCUGAGAGGAAGAUCAGCCACACUGGGACUGAGACACGGCCCAGACUCCUACGGGAGGCAGCAGUGGGGAAUCUUGGACAAUGGGCGCAAGCCUGAUCCAGCCAUGCCGCGUGAGUGAUGAAGGCCUUAGGGUUGUAAAACUCUUUCGUCGGGGACGAUAAUGACGGUACCCGAAGAAGAAGCUCCGGCUAACUUCGUG
rnacentral:rRNA from 1 species